AUAACGACUGUCGGCUAUAACAACCAUUAACAGGAGGUCCCUUCAAUGUCGUUAUAAACGGUUUUCACUGUAUUUUGACUAAUUAUUUUUAGAUAC